GCAAGCUUGAGUCUCGUAGAGGGGGGUAGAAUUCCAGGUGUAGCGGUGAAAUGCGUAGAGAUCUGGAGGAAUACCGGUGGCGAAGGCGGCCCCCUGGACGAAGACUGACGCUCAGGUGCGAAAGCGUGGGGAGCAAACAGGAUUAGAUACCCUGGUAGUCCACGCCGUAAACGAUGUCGACUUGGAGGUUGUGCCCUUGAGGCGUGGCUUCCGGAGCUAACGCGUUAAGUCGACCGCCUGGGGAGUACGGCCGCAAGGUUAAAACUCAAAUGAAUUGACGGGGGCCCGCACAAGCGGUGGAGCAUGUGGUUUAAUUCGAUGCAACGCGAAGAACCUUACC
rnacentral:rRNA from 1 species